rnacentral:lncRNA from 1 species
GUCUCUUGAAACAAAAAGCAAGAACGACUAGACCAGCACAUCCAUCUACAGACUGUUUAAACUAACAAGUCCACGGUCAGUGCGCAGUAUAGAAAACGCCUCAGAAUCCUUAGAACAGAUAGGCUGGUGGUAAGGGAAGAAUCCCGGGCUCCUUGGUCUGUUCUGCACUUGAAGAGGGGGAUUUAUUAUAGAAGUGCUUACAGAUGAAGUAACAAUCAAAUGAGAGAUCUGGAGAAAAGUGACUGUGGUGAAAUUUGUGCUUUCUAGAAGAAAAACUCCUAGGAGGGGCAGCAUGUACUCCUGCUCUGGACGGCGCUGCCUCAGUCCUGGGACUUGACAGCCAACUUAAUUUCACCAGCAGCAGCUUACUUCCUCUUUACUGGAGCUGGAGACCAGAGGACACAGCAAAGCUGAGUCAGAGCUGGCACAGGGCACGCUCAAGUCCAUGAAAGUAGAAGCCUCCUGAAGAUUGCUGUAGGUACCCGCUUGCCUCAUUCUCAUUCCAGCCCUGUAUGGAGGGCGCUGAGCCUUAGAGAAGAUUGGACCAAUGGUUACAAGUUUCACAGCUGCUUA